rnacentral:telomerase_RNA from 1 species
CUCGCUUCGCUGUCGACUUCUUGUGCUAUGGUGUGGGACCUGGCUUUCUAACCCUAACCGAGCCUUAACCUGGGGGUUUUGCUCUAUUAUUGGGCAUUGAAACAAAGCUCUGUCUUCCUUGGUCUGUCGAGUGUGUUUUUGGGGGUUUUCUUUCACGUUCGACGGGAGAAUUUGAGCUUGAACACAAGAAACCUCGGAGAAGAGAUGGCGAACGAGAUCAAGCGCUUCCUAGCUCUCACUGGAAAAUACCAUCGCCUUUGAAACAGGAAAUGAUGCAAAGCGUCUGGGGAAUGCAGCCGUGAGUAAGUUCACUUUCUGUGUUCAAGGGUUUGGCCCUUUUCCCUGCUAUUGCUCUUUUUUGCUCCGUGUAUAGGUGAUGCUCUGUUAGCAGUGUACAGUAAAAGAUGGGUCGUGCAGUCCUGCUUUCGGAUCGCCUUGGGCGAUUGCAAAUGUGGAAGCAGUGAACAUGGCCUUUCUUACAUUU